rnacentral:rRNA from 1 species
GUUUUAAGGGGAGUGGCGCGACGGGUGAGUAACACGUAGGACAAUCUACCGUUUAGGACUGACACAACUCGUACGAAAGACGGGCUAAUAUCAGAUAAUGCAGCGGCUCCGCAUGGAGACAGUUGUUAAAGUACAAGCGCCUGAAGAUGAGCCUGCGGUCCAUUAGCUAGUUGGUAGAGUAACGGCCUACCAAGGCAACGAUGGAUAGCUGGUCUGAGAGGAUGAUCAGCCACACUGGAACUGAGACACGGUCCAGACUCCUACGGGAGGCAGCAGUAAGGAAUAUUGCUCAAUGGCCGAAAGGCUGAAGCAGCAACGCCGCGUGAAGGAUGAAUGGCCUUUGGCCUGUAAACUUCUGUAAAAGAGGAAAAUAGUUAGGUAUAUCCUAAUGUGAUUGUACUCUUGAAGUAAGCCCCGGCUAACUACGUG